ACCAGACUCCUACGGGAGGCAGCAGUGGGGAAUAUUGCACCAUGGGGGGAACCCUGCUGCAGCGACGCCGCUUGGGUGACGGCGCACCUCGGUGCUUCCCGCCCUAUCGGCCUUGAAGAAACCGCCGGUACCUGACUCCUCCGCCCCGGCUCCCUCCGUGCCAUCCUCCUCGGUAAUCCUUCUGGGGCAAGCGUUAUCCGGAUUCCCUGGGUGUAAAGGGAGCGUAGACGGCGACGCAAGUCUGGAGUGAAAGCCCGGGGCACAACCCCGGGACUGCUCUGGAAACUGCGUCGCUGGAGUACGGGAGGGGCAGGCGGAAUUCCUGGUGUAGCGGUGAAAUGCGUAGAGAUCAGGAGGAACACCGGCGGCGAAGGCGGCCGGCUGGACCGUGACUGACGUUGAGGCUCGAGAGCGUGGGGAGCAAACAGGAUUAGAUACCCGGGUAC
rnacentral:rRNA from 1 species